GGAGAACCAGGAUAUGUUCUGGGAGGAACCGAUGUCAUUCCUGGGCAGAGAGGGGAACCUGGGUCCCCAGGUCCGAGCGGUGAGCCAGGAUUUCCAGGUGUGGCAGGUCCACCAGGGCUUCCAGGACAGCCGGGACCUCAGGGACCACCAGGUCUUUCUGUCAAGGGUGAGCCAGGAGCUUCUGGUACUCGGGGUCAACGUGGGAAACCUGGCCUGAAAGGUGAUAAGGGAGAUAACGGAAUUCCUGUAAGUUUUCGCUCCAUAUAGAAUCUUCUCAAUGGUGAAUGGGGAGAUGCAGUACUCUGAUACAGCCAGAAGGACAGCCAUUGUAAUAGUGGUGGCCAUCCAGAAAUCUGAGCUAUGAACACAAUCAGGAAUAAAGCUUGUGAAUAUUGAAGACCUGGAAGGUGUUAAAUUAUUGCAAGAAUAAACAUUUGUUACUCAUUUUUCUGUUCAGGGAGUUGCUGGUUUGCCUGGACCAAUUGGACUUGAUGGAACUCCUGGGGCCCCAGGGUCCAAAGGGGAACAGGUAGCAGACUCUUUUCAGUUCCAGUAUUUCAACAUUUGCAUGUUCUUAACUUGGGCUCAAAUUCAUGGAGUACACCUCAUUGUUCUUUCUGAAACUGUAACCCAUUCCCCUCACAGUAUGGCUAGGAAGGAAUGGAGGAACAGGAAGAAGCCAUUUAGCCCUUUGAGC